rnacentral:rRNA from 1 species
UACGUAGGGGCCGAGCGUUGUCCGGAGUUAUUGGGCGUAAAGCGCGCGCAGGCGGCCUCGCGCGCCCGACGUGAAAGCCCCCGGCUUAACCGGGGAGGGUCGUUGGGGACGGCGGGGCUUGAGGGCGGGAGAGGUCGGUGGAAUUCCCGGUGUAGUGGUGAAAUGCGUAGGGAUCGGGAGGAACACCUGUGGCGAAGGCGGCCGACUGGGCCGACCCUGACGCUGAGGCGCGAAAGCUAGGGGAGCAAACGGG